rnacentral:rRNA from 1 species
UUGUACACACCGCCCGUCAAACCAUGAAAGUGACCCUAACACCCGGAAGUCCGAUUCGUCGCCUAAGGUGGGGGCAUGAGUUGGGUU